rnacentral:lncRNA from 1 species
CGGAUGAAAACCAUGACAUUUUGCCACUCAACUCCAAAUGUUCAUGACUGUGGCAUAAUGCAAAUUGCAUUUAAUCCAUUUCAAAGAGCCCCCAAAGUUAACUUUUUGAGCAUCACUUUAAAGACCCAAGUCUGAGUGUUUUCUGAGACUCAACGUGAUUCUUAGCUGUGAGAUCCUAUAAAAAUCAGAAGGAAGUUGCAUGCAUCCAGUAAACUAUGGCACAGAGUAAACAUUCCCAAUCCAGAGGGAAAGAAUUAGGGAAUGGAGAUAUGGGAGAUAUGGACCAAAACAGUACUGAAACCCAAUAGGGCAACCAAGUCUUGUAGCUCUAUAUCUGAUGUUCAGCAUUUGGAGGACAUGGUGGCAAGAUAUGGGCUUCUUUUUACACAUUCUUUUUCUGGACAAACUUCAAGUUUUAAAAAACUUUCUCCCCGGCUUUUUCUCCUGAUUUUCAUAGUAAAUCUGGCUAAAAGUUACCAGCAAUAGUGUUGCCACUGCCCUGCCUUCAAAUUUCCUCCUCAAAUUAAUUAGUCCAUCACUUUUUUGGAGGGUGGGUGGGUACUGGAGAUUGAAAUCAGGGGCACUUGACCACUAAGCCACAUCCCCAGCCUAUUUUUUUUUUUUGUAUUGUAUUUAGAGACAGGGUCUCACUUUUGCUGAGGCUAGCUUUGAAUUCAUGAUCCUCCUGCCUUAGCCUCCUGAGCCGCUGGGAUUACAGGCGUGUGCCACUGUGCCUGGUCCAUGACUUUUAUUUUAUUUUAUUUUUUAAACUUUUUUUUAUUUGUAGAUGGGCACAAUUCAUUUAUUUGAUUUAUUUAUUUUUAUGUGGUGUUGAGGAUUAAACCGAGUGCCUCACAUGUGUUAGGCAAGUGCUCCACCACUGAGCCACAACCCCAGCUGUAGUCCAUCACUUUUAAAUUUAGCCCCAUGGAAUUUCAGAACAUGGGCAAAAUGUAGACAGGUUCUUUAAAUAUCCCCUGGUCCAAUUCCUUUGGAGUACUAAUUUCCCUCUGAAAUCUUGAGAUAUAGUCCAUAUUCCUAUCAGCAUUUUGGUCUUCUGAGUUCCCACGAGAAUUGCCCAUUAGCUCUGCUCACAAAAAUUUUAAGGCUUCUCCAGCUUACAUCUUCACAUCUCAAACUUUUUUCAAAACAUUUCCGUGUAGACUUCUGAGCUACAUGAUAGGUUAGUC